GGCUGGUCUGAUGGUAGUGGGUUAUCAGAACUUAUUCACAUUAGUGUCACUAAAGUUGGUAUUCAACCCCCCACUGCUAAAUUUGACUGGCUUAAA
rnacentral:Y_RNA from 1 species